rnacentral:rRNA from 1 species
GAUGAACGCUGGCGGCGUGCCUAACACAUGCAAGUCGAGCGAUUCUCUUCGGAGAAGAGCGGCGGACGGGUGAGUAACGCGUGGGUAACCUGCCCUGUACACACGGAUAACAUACCGAAAGGUAUGCUAAUACGAGAUAAUAUGCUUUUAUCGCUUGGUAGAAGUAUCAAAGCUUUUGCGGUACAGGAUGGACCCGCGUCUGAUUAGCUAGUUGGUAAGGUAACGGCUUACCAAGGCGACGAUCAGUAGCCGACCUGAGAGGGUGAUCGGCCACAUUGGAACUGGGACACGGUCCAAACUCCUACGGGAGGCAGCAGUGGGGAAUAUUGCACAAUGGGCGAAAGCCUGAUGCAGCAACGCCGCGUGAGCGAUGAAGGCCUUCGGGUCGUAAAGUUCUGUCCUCAAGGAAGAUAAUGACGGUACUUGAGGAGGAAGCCCCGGCUAACUACGUG